rnacentral:rRNA from 1 species
GACGAACGCUGGCGGCGUGCUUAACACAUGCAAGUCGAGCGGUAAGGCCCUUUCGGGGGUACACGAGCGGCGAACGGGUGAGUAACACGUGGGUGACCUGCCCUCAGCUCUGGGAUAAGCCCGGGAAACUGGGUCUAAUACUGGAUAUGACUCCAUGACGCAUGUUGUGGGGUGGAAAGCCUUGUGCGGCUGGGGAUGGGCCCGCGGCCUAUCAGCUUGUUGGUGGGGUGAUGGCCUACCAAGGCGACGACGGGUAGCCGGCCUGAGAGGGCGACCGGCCACACUGGGACUGAGACACGGCCCAGACUCCUACGGGAGGCAGCAGUGGGGAAUCUUGCGCAAUGGGCGAAAGCCUGACGCAGCGACGCCGCGUGAGGGAUGACGGCCGUCCGGGUUGUAAACCUCUUUCAGCUCCGACGAAGCGAGAGUGACGGUAGGAGC